ensembl:lncRNA
UGCGAGGGGCGGAGCUUCCAGGAGUCAACCCUGCCUUCUCUUGGGCUUGGGGGCGGGCCCUAUUCUGAUUGGAUAUAUGAGACUGUCCAUCCUGGACUCAUCGGUCGACGGAACUGACGCUCUAGGGCGGAGGUUUGGUGCCUCCUAGAGAGAGGCCGAAGGAGCUAAGGGUCAGGAGACCGAUUCCGGAAAACUUAAUUGCUGUGCUGGCGCAGCUCUUCCUCCCUUUCUUGCUCUAGAGACACCAUAUGUCAGUAACUUUGGAGUUGGAUCUACGGUAUUUGGACAGGAAAAUUCCAAGUCAUCAGAAUGGGAGGGAAAUUGGAUCGUCUAGGGUCUCUUCGCGGAGAAGGCAAUGGCAUCCCACUCCAGUACUCUUGCCUGAAAAAUCCAUGGACGGAGGAGCCUGUCGACAGCCAGCACUUUCCAAAAUCACAGUGCUGAUCAUGCUCCUAGCCCACUGGAGAACGUACAAUGGCUUGUCUUCAUCUACAUCUACAAAAUAAGGUCCAGCCUGUUCAUUGCAGCAAACUAGACCCUUCACAAUUUGACCAGCCUCACCUUUACACCUUAUGUCUUACAGCCCCCGUUUGUCUGCUGUUCUGUACUCCUAUGUUCAGUUCCACCAUUCAGCCCCCUUUCUUUGGAAUGGGGAAUCUUGAUUUUACCACUUUCUAACUCUAUGAUCUCAGGCAAGUCAUUUAAUUUCUGAGUCUCAGUUUCCUCUGCUGUCAGAAACGAGUAUAU